rnacentral:rRNA from 1 species
UACAGAGGGUGCAAGCGUUGUUCGGAAUUAUUGGGCGUAAAGGGCGCGUAGGCGGUGCCACAAGUCACCUGUGAAAUCUCCGGGCUUAACUCGGAGCCUGCAGGCGAAACUGUGGUGCUGGAGUGUGGGAGAGGUGCGUGGAAUUCCCGGUGUGGCGGUGAAAUGCGUAGAUAUCGGGAGGAACACCUGUGGCGAAAGCGGCGCACUGGACCAUAACUGACGCUGAGGCGCGAAAGCUAGGGGAGCAAACAGG